rnacentral:rRNA from 1 species
GACGAACGCUGGCGGCGUGCUUAACACAUGCAAGUCGAACGGAAAGGCCCUGCUUUUGUGGGGUGCUCGAGUGGCGAACGGGUGAGUAACACGUGAGUAACCUGCCCUUGACUUUGGGAUAACUUCAGGAAACUGGGGCUAAUACCGGAUAGGAGCUCCUGCUGCAUGGUGGGGGUUGGAAAGUUUCGGCGGUUGGGGAUGGACUCGCGGCUUAUCAGCUUGUUGGUGGGGUAGUGGCUUACCAAGGCUUUGACGGGUAGCCGGCAUGAGAGGGUGACCGGCCACAUUGGGACUGAGAUACGGCCCAGACUCCUACGGGAGGCAGCAGUGGGGAAUAUUGCACAAUGGGCGGAAGCCUGAUGCAGCAACGCCGCGUGCGGGAUGACGGCCUUCGGGUUGUAAACCGCUUUAGCCUGUGACGAAGCGUGAGUGACGGUAAUGGGUAAAGAAGCACCGGCUAACUACGUG